AUUGAACGCUGGCGGCAGGCCUAACACAUGCAAGUCGAGCGAAGCCUUCGGGCUUAGCGGCGGACGGGUGAGUAACGCGUGGGAACGUGCCCUUUGGUACGGAAUAGCCCCGGGAAACUGGGAGUAAUACCGUAUGUGGUCGAGAGACGAAAGAUUUAUCGCCAAAGGAUCGGCCCGCGUUGGAUUAGGUAGUUGGUGGGGUAAUGGCCUACCAAGCCGACGAUCCAUAGCUGGUUUGAGAGGAUGAUCAGCCACACUGGGACUGAGACACGGCCCAGACUCCUACGGGAGGAAGCAGUGGGGAAUCUUAGACAAUGGGGGAAACCCUGAUCUAGCCAUGCCGCGUGAUCGAUGAAGGCCUUAGGGUUGUAAAGAUCUUUCAGUGGGGAAGAUAAUGACUGUACCCACAGAAGAAGCCCCGGCUAACUCCGUGCCAGCCGCCGCCGUAACAC
rnacentral:rRNA from 1 species